rnacentral:rRNA from 1 species
GACAGAGGGGGCAAGCGUUGUCCGGAGUUACUGGGCGUAAAGCGCACGCAGGCGGCCGGGCGCGUGUGGGGUGAAAGCCGCGAGCUUAACUCGCGGUCGCCCCCGCAUACGGCUCGGCUCGAGCCCGGGAGAGGUCCCUCGAAUUGCCGGUGUAGUGGUGAAAUGCGUAGAGAUCGGCAGGAAGACCAAGGGGGAAGCCAGGGGACUGGCCCGCGGCUGACGCUCAGGUGCGAGAGCGUGGGGAGCGAACCGG